UUCUUAUCUAGAGAGACGGAGGGGCUGGCCCAAUGAAGUCUCGGCAACCUAAUUCGGUUAGGUGCCAAUUCCAGAGAGCGGAGGCUCGAAGAUGAGUA
rnacentral:ncRNA from 1 species